rnacentral:rRNA from 1 species
GACAGAGGGUGCAAACGUUGCUCGGAAUCACUGGGCGUAAAGGGCGUGUAGGCGGGAAGGAAAGUCGGGCGUGAAAUCCCUAGGCUCAACCUAGGAACUGCACUCGAAACUGUUUAUCUUGAGUGCCGGAGAGGAAAGCGGAAUUCCUGGUGUAGAGGUGAAAUGCGUAGAUAUCAGGAGGAACACCGGUGGUGUAGACGGCUCACUGGACCAUAACUGACGCUGAGACGCGAAAGCGUGGGGAGCAAACAGG